AACGCACCUUGCGCCCUUUGGCUAUUCCGGAGGGCAUGCCUGUUUGAGUAUCAUGAACAUCUCAACUCCUCACGGUUUUCCCGUGACGAGCUUGGACUUUGGGGGUCUUGCUGGCCUGCAGGUCGGCUCCUCUCAAAUGAAUCAGCUUGCCGGUGUUUGGUGGCGUCACAGGUGUGAUAACUAUCUACGCUUGUGGUUUUCCGCCAGGUAACCUCCAGCGAUGGGGGUUCACUGGAGCUCACAAACGUCUCUCCUCGGUGAGGACAGCUCUUUGAACGUUUGAUCUCAAAUCAGGUAGGACUACCCGCUGAACUUAA
rnacentral:misc_RNA from 1 species